rnacentral:rRNA from 1 species
GAUAGUUUACUAUUUUGGUGGCGACCGGCGCACGGGUGAGUAACGCGUAUGUAACCUACCUUAUACAGGAGUAUAGCCCGAAGAAAUUCGGAUUAAUCCUCCAUAGUAUUUUCUAAUGGCAUCAUUUGGAAAAUUAAAGCUUCGGCGGUAUAAGAUGGGCAUGCGUCCUAUUAGCUAGAUGGUAAGGUAAUGGCUUACCAUGGCUACGAUAGGUAGGGGGCCUGAGAGGGUGAUCCCCCACACUGGUACUGAGACACGGACCAGACUCCUACGGGAGGCAGCAGUGAGGAAUAUUGGUCAAUGGGCGCAAGCCUGAACCAGCCAUGCCGCGUGCAGGAAGAAUGCCCUAUGGGUUGUAAACUGCUUUUAUUUAGGAAUAAACCCCUCUACGUGUAGAGGGCUGAAUGUACUAAACGAAUAAGCACCGGCUAACUCCGUGCCAGCAGCCGCGGUAAUACGGAGGGUGCAAGCGUUAUCCGGAAUCAUUGGGUUUAAAGGGUCCGCAGGCGGACGUAUAA